CCUACGGGAGGCAGCAGUGAGGAAUAUUGGUCAAUGGGCGCGAGCCUGAACCAGCCAAGUCGCGUGAAGGAUGACUGCCCUACGGGUUGUAAACUUUUUUUAUAAAGGAAUAAAGUGAGGCACGUGCGCCUUUUUGUAUGUACUUUAUGAAUAAGGAUCGGCUAACUCCGUGCAAGCAGCCGCGGUAAUACGGAGGAUCCGAGCGUUAUCCGGAUUUAUUGGGUUUAAAGGGAGCGUAGAUGGGUUGUUAAGUCAGUUGUGAAAGUUUGCGGCUCAACCGUAAAAUUGCAAUUGAUACUGGCAGCCUUGAGUACAGUUGAGGUAGGCGGAAUUCGUGGUGUAGCGGUGAAAUGCUGAGAUAUCACGAAGAACUCCGAUUGCGAAGGCAGCUUACUAAACUGCCACUGACAUUGAUGCUCGAAAGUGUGGGUAUCAAACAGGAUUAGAUACCCUUGUAGUC
rnacentral:rRNA from 1 species